rnacentral:rRNA from 1 species
AGACACGGCCCAGACUCCUACGGGAGGCAGCAGUAGGGAAUCUUCGGCAAUGGACGAAAGUCUGACCGAGCAACGCCGCGUGAAUGAAGAAGGCUUUCGGGUCGUAAAAUUCUGUUAUAAGGGAAGAAAAGUUAGAGUAGGAAAUGGCUCUAAAGUGACGGUACCUUAUGAGAAAGCCACGGCUAACUACGUGCCAGCAGCCGCGGUAAUACGUAGGUGGCAAGCCGUUAUCCGGAAUUAUUGGGCGUAAAGAGCGCGUAGGUGGUUGAUUAAGUCUGAUGUGAAAGCCCACGGCUUAAGCGUGGAGGGUCAUUGGAAACUGGUCAACUUGAGUGCAGAAGAGGGAAGUGGAAUUCCAUGUGUAGCGGUGAAAUGCGUAGAGAUAUGGAGGAACACCAGUGGCGAAGGCGGCUUCCUGGUCUGUAACUGACACUGAGGCGCGAAAGCGUGGGGAGCAAACAGGAUUAGAUACCCUGGUAGUCCACGCCGUAAACGAUGAGUGCUAAGUGUUGGGGGUCGAACCUCAGUGCUGAAGUUAACGCAUUAAGCACUCCGCCUGGGGAGUACGGUCGCAAGACUG